AUUGAACGCUGGCGGCAUGCCUUACACAUGCAAGUCGAACGGCAGCACGGGUGCUUGCCCCUGGUGGCGAGUGGCGAACGGGUGAGUAAUACAUCGGAACAUGUCCUGUAGUGGGGGAUAGCCCGGCGAAAGCCGGAUUAAUACCGCAUACGAUCUACGGAUGAAAGCGGGGGACCUUCGGGCCUCGCGCUAUAGGGUUGGCCGAUGGCUGAUUAGCUAGUUGGUGGGGUAAAGGCCUACCAAGGCGACGAUCAGUAGCUGGUCUGAGAGGACGACCAGCCACACUGGGACUGAGAGACGGCCCAGACUCCUACGGGAGGCAGCAGUGGGGAAUUUUGUACAAUGGGCGAAAGCCUGAUCCAGCAAUGCCGCGUGUGUGAAGAAGGCCUUCGGGUUGUAAAGCACUUUUGUCCGGAAAGAAAUCCUUGGCCCUAAUACGGUCGGGGGAUGACGGUACCGGAAGAAUAAGCACCGGCUAACUACGUG
rnacentral:rRNA from 1 species